AUCCCAAAUAAGCUGAGUUAAGGUGCUUAAAUGAUUCAUGGGAGGCCCAAAUCAAGCUUGUGGGGGUUUCGCUGAUAACAUCCCUCUAUUUUUUGCAAGGUGGUGUUUACUAGUGGCCUUUACCAUACAUUU
rnacentral:snoRNA from 1 species